GAUGAACGCUGGCGGCGUGCCUAAUACAUGCAGGUCGAGCGAACGGACGAGAAGCUUGCUUCUCUGAUGUUAGCGGCGGACGGGUGAGUAACACGUGGAUAACCUACCUAUAAGACUGGGAUAACUUCGGGAAACCGUAGCUAAUACCGGAUAAUAUUUUGAACCGCAUGGUUCAAAAGUGAAAGACGGUCUUGCUGUCACUUAUAGAUGGAUCCGCGCUGCAUUAGCUAGUUGGUAAGGUAACGGCUUACCAAGGCAACGAUGCAUAGCCGACCUGAGAGGGUGAUCGGCCACACUGGAACUGAGACACGGUCCAGACUCCUACGGGAGGCAGCAGUAGGGAAUCUUCCGCAAAGGGCGAAAGCCUGACGGAGCAACGCCGCGUGAGUGAUGAAGGUCUUCGGAUCGUAAAACUCUGUUAUUAGGGAAGAACAUAUGUGUAAGUAACUGUGCACAUCUUGACGGUACCUAAUCAGAAAGCCACGGCUAACUACGUG
rnacentral:rRNA from 1 species